UAUAAACAAGCCAGGAGAUAUUCUAA
rnacentral:piRNA from 1 species